GAAAUAUAAAAUCACUUCAGAGAAAGGAGGAGCAUAAAAGAGACAAGGAAAAAGAAAAAGAAGUUCCCUCAUCACCUCCUCUCCUCACCCCUCCUUCCUCUCCCUACCUCUCUUCUUCCUCUUCUAUCAAUCUCUCUCCCUA
rnacentral:ribozyme from 13 species